GGAGAGGUGGCAGAGCGGUUGAACGCACCGCACUCGAAAUGCGGCAUGGGUGCAAGCCCAUCGGGGGUUCGAAUCCCUCCCUCUCCGCCA
rnacentral:tRNA from 1 species